UACGUAGGGUGCGAGCGUUGUCCGGAAUUAUUGGGCGUAAAGGGCUCGUAGGCGGUCUGUCACGUCGGGUGUGAAAACUCAGGGCUUAACCCUGAGCCUGCUUCCGAUACGGGCAGACUAGAGGUAUGCAGGGGAGAACGGAAUUCCUGGUGUAGCGGUGAAAUGCGCAGAUAUCAGGAGGAACACCAGCGGCGAAGGCGGCGCUCUGGGCCGGAACUGACGCUGAGGAGCGAAAGCGUGGGGAGCAAACAGG
rnacentral:rRNA from 1 species